UACGUAGGUGGCAAGCGUUAUCCGGAAUUAUUGGGCGUAAAGAGGGAGCAGGCGGCAGCAAAGGUCUGUGGUGAAAGACUGAAGCUUAACUUCAGUAAGCCAUAGAAACCGGGCAGCUAGAGUGCAGGAGAGGAUCGUGGAAUUCCAUGUGUAGCGGUGAAAUGCGUAGAUAUAUGGAGGAACACCAGUGGCGAAGGCGGCUCUCUGGUCUGCAACUGACGCUGAGGCUCGAAAGCAUGGGUAGCGAACAGG
rnacentral:rRNA from 1 species